AGGGUAAUAGCUCAGUGGUAGAGCACAUGCUUAGCAUGCACAAGGUCCUGGGUUCAAUUCCCAGUACCUCCA
rnacentral:tRNA from 1 species